ACACGUAGGGGGCGAGCGUUGUUCGGAAUCAUUGGGCGUAAAGGGCGUGCAGGCGGUCCUGCAAGUCCGGCGUGAAAGACCCCGGCCCAAACGGGGGGACGCGCUGGAAACUGCAGGGCUUGAGUACAGGAGGGGAUGCCGGAAUUCCAGGGGUCGGGGUGAAAUCUGUAGAUAUCUGGAAGAACACCGAUGGCGAAGGCAGGCAUCUGGCCGGAGACUGACGCUGAGGCGCGAAGGCGCGGGGAGCGAACAGGUUUAGAUACCCUGGUAGUCCGCGCAGUAAACGAUGCGCACCAGGUGUCGGGCGGCAGCGCCCGGUACCGGAGCAAACGCGAUGAGUGCGCCGCCUGGGGAGUAUGCCCGCAAGGGUGAAACUCAAAUGAAUUGACGGGG
rnacentral:rRNA from 1 species